GAUGAACGCUGGCGGCGUGCCUAAUACAUGCAAGUCGAGCGAACAGACGAGGAGCUUGCUCCUCUGACGUUAGCGGCGGACGGGUGAGUAACACGUGGAUAACCUACCUAUAAGACUGGGAUAACUUCGGGAAACCGGAGCUAAUACCGGAUAAUAUAUUGAACCGCAUGGUUCAAUAGUGAAAGACGGUUUUGCUGUCACUUAUAGAUGGAUCCGCGCCGCAUUAGCUAGUUGGUAAGGUAACGGCUUACCAAGGCAACGAUGCGUAGCCGACCUGAGAGGUUGAUCGGCCACACUGGAACUGAGACACGGUCCAGACUCCUACGGGAGGCAGCAGUAGGGAAUCUUCCGCAUUGGGCGAAAUCCUGACGGAGCAACGCCGCUUGAGUGAUGAAGGUCUUCGGAUCUUAAAACUCUGUUGUUAGGGAAGAACAAAUGUGUAAGUAACUAUGCACGUCUUGACGGUACCUAAUCAGAAAGCCACGGCUAACUACGUG
rnacentral:rRNA from 1 species